UACUCGUGACACAUGACAGUGGUGCCCUUGUCAUGUGACUGGGGUUGAAGCUGUACUGGACUUGAGGUGAUGGUCUUGUGAUGGUGGAAUGACGUCAUUUUCCCGCCAGUAGAGAUCAUGUGACGGGUUUUUUUUACAGGUUAUAAAAGGUAGACCCCACCCUGUGAGGGGGGGCAGUUCGUGGCUGGAUUUGCCAAGUUGACUUCAUGCCACUGCGUGUUUGAAGUGAUGACGCAGUUUAGUUGAAGGAUGAAGUUUUUAUUUAAUGCCUAAAGUUUAAAAGGUUAAUGCCAACAGGUUCUUUAUGAUUCUGUUAGUUUGAGAAUUAAAGGAGAGUGAAGAUUCAAGGUUGGAAGUUAAAGAUCGAGGAGAAUCGCUUUCUACGGUGAAACGGGGGCGACCUUUGUUUGAUCCUUAUUUGGAAGGAUUUCGUUGACUAUCUUCGUGUUAAUCCCUAGGUUUACCUAGAAAGGAUUGAAGGUAGUGGAGAAGGAAAGAGAACCAUUGAGAGAUGAAGCCAGCAGUCACAAGGAUAAUCAGAGCCAAGAGGAACACAGGAAGCAAGAACUCCCUACGGCUUACACAAGAAGUGACAUUGAUCUUGGACCUCCUAAACCUGAACAAGCCUCAAGGGAGUGGUAUACUCAAAAAGUUCUGCUGAUGCUUGAAAUCCAAAGUAACACAUAUGAAACUCUGGAGGAACUCAGCAGGUCAGGCAGCAUCUAUGGAGAGGAAUAAAGAGCCCAUAUUUCAGGCUGAGACCCUUCUUCAGGACUCCCAGAAGUGUACAAGAAGAUAAGAGGCAUAGAUAAAAGUGGAUAGUCAGAGAUUUUUUCUCAGGGCAGAAAAGGCUAACAUGAGGGGGACAUGAUUUUUAAGGUGAUUUGAAGAAAGUAUCGGGGGGGGGGGUUUGUCAGAGAUAAAUUCUUUACGCAGAGGGUGGUGAGUGUGUGGAAUAUCCUGCCAGGGUCUGUGGUAGAAGCAGAAACAUUUGAUACAUUCAAGAGCAUCUUAGAUAGGCAUAUGAAUAAUAGUAAAAUGGUGGGCUAUGUGGGAGAGAUGGGCGAGAUUGAUUUUAGAGUAGGGUAAAAUGUUAGUAGAACAUCAUGCAUCGAAACGCCUGUACUAUUCUCUAAGGUUCUAUAUUCCAUGAAUAACGAGAGCAAGGUUUUGUGGUCCCGCUAUGUCCAGCCACAGAGAGCGGUUUGUAAUUAAGAGGAGAAAGUGUCCUCAAGAAUAUCUGUGUCUACAGCAAUGGUGGACCAUCAUGUAGGCCCAGUCCAUUUCAGGUAAAACCUUCCCUAACAUUGAGCACAACUACAGAGUACUGUCAUAGGAAAGCAGCAUUCAUCAGCAGGGAUCCCACUACCCAGCCCAGGCUCUCUGCUCGCUAUAAGGAAGAAGGUACAGGAGCCUCAGGACACACACCAUCAGGUUUUGGAACGUUUAUUACUCCUCAUCUUUGCACUCUUGAACCAGAGAGGAUAAUUUCAUCCAACUUUACUCAGCCAAUCACUGAGCUGUUUGCAGAACCUACGGACUCACCAUCAAGGACUCUUGAUCUCAUGUUCUUGAUAUUUAUAGCUUAUUUAUUUAUUUGUUUGUUUAUUUUUAUUGUAUUUUUAUUUUUUUUCUCAGCACAAGCUGGCAAAAUCUGAGAUACAGGUAUAGCAAAGCACAAUAAUUUCCCAAGCGCUAGAAACUUUUGGAUUAUUCUAGUGGUGAUUAGUACUGUGGCUUUCUGAAGAGUUACAUAGAUAUUGCCGUGUAGACCUAAUUGUUUAAUGCUAUUGUGCAGUGUCUUAGGGAUGACAAGUUGUAGAUAUUACUAUUCAGUCAAUGUAUACCCUGUUCAUGUUCCAAAGUCUUUCAAUUUCCUCUUUUAAUGCAGCAUACUUCUGGUGUUUUUUUUUACUUAUUGAUUUCUGUAUGUUGUGCACAUUUAAAACAGCUAAAUCUAUUAAGUAAGUUGUUCUUGCUUGUUUAUCAUGUAAUAUUACAUCUGGAUGGUUAUUACGAAUUGUCUUAACUGUAAUAAUCAUAUCAGCCAUAAUGUAAUUUGUGGGAAUCUGACUGUAAAACUGGAUUAGGCAUGUAUUUAUAAUAAGUUGCGAUAUCUUUUAUGAGUUUGUAUUUUAAAGCAAGAUUUUGGUGAAUGACGUUUGUCACUUGAUUGUGCCUGUGUAAGUAAUCAGAUUGAGUUAAGCUGCUGCAGGAUCCUGAAAUGUGUUGGAUUGUUUCUGGUUUCUUUUGAAAUAUUCUGCAUGGAUCAUCUUAUAUCUGUUGAUCUUAUAUGAAAAAUAUUUGAUUUUUUUUGUGUUAACUACUUGGUCUAGCGUUGCCACAAGGAACCCCUCUAUUUCUGAGAAGAGGUCUCCAACUCUGAGUCAGGUGUUCAAUGCUUCUGUCGGUCUUGUCUGCUCAGAUCGUAGGGAUGUCUUUUAUGCAGGGCCAUGCUCUUCCGCUGUUUAAUAUUUUCUUCUGUAGUGAUAAUCACUGCACUUUUCUGGGUUGUGCUUUCAUUUAAGAUUAAGAUACUUCUUAUCAGAAUUUCAUAUGUCCACAUGGAGUGCUGAAUCCUCUUUUCAAUGAUGAAAGUAUAUCCUUGGAAGUUUUAUAUGAUUGUUGUGUAAAUCCUUAUCACUGUUAUUCCUCUUCCUUUAAGGGAGUGUUAUUCUAAGCACGUUUGAGUGUACAGUUUACUAAAAUUUGUCCUUUCAGUUCUUAUUUUUCUUUGUAAAUUUUCCAGAUUGGUGAUUAUUUUUAUUAAAUAACAAUAAUAGAAUCAUUUUAUUUAUUUAUUGGGAUACAACACAGAACAUGCCCUUCUGGCCUUCCAACACACACAGCCCAGCCAUCCCCUGAUUUAACCCUGGCCUAAUCACGGGACAAUUUACACUGAACAAUUAAUGUGGGAGGAAGCUGGAGCACCUGUAAGAAACCCAGACGGUCACAGCAAGAAUGAACAAACAUUAUUCAGACAGCAGCGGGAACCGAACCCGGAUGCCUGUUCUGUAAAGUGUUGUGCUAACCACUGAACUCCACGCCGUGCACUGCUCCCCAAAGAUGCUGCCCGACCUGCUGUGUUCCUCCCGCAGAUUGCUCACAGCUCUGGAAAUGGAUGUUGCACU